rnacentral:rRNA from 1 species
UCCAGACUCCUACGGGAGGCAGCAGUGGGGAAUUUUGCGCAAUGGGGGAAACCCUGACGCAGCAACGCCGCGUGCGGGACGAAGGCCUUCGGGUUGUAAACCGCUUUCAGCAGGGACGAAUUCCGACGGUACCUGCAGAAGAAGCUCCGGCUAACUAUGUGCCAGCAGCCGCGGUAAUACAUAGGGAGCAAGCGUUAUCCGGAUUUAUUGGGUGUAAAGGGUGCGUAGACGGGAAAUUAAGUUAGUUGUGAAAUCCCUCGGCUUAACUGAGGAACUGCAACUAAAACUGAUUUUCUUGAGUACUGGAGAGGAAAGUGGAAUUCCUAGUGUAGCGGUGAAAUGCGUAGAUAUUAGGAGGAACACCAGUGGCGAAGGCGACUUUCUGGACAGUAACUGACGUUGAGGCACGAAAGUGUGGGGAGCAAACAGGAUUAGAUACCCCUGUA